rnacentral:rRNA from 1 species
GAUGAACGCUAGCGGCAGGCUUAACACAUGCAAGUCGAGCGCCCCGCAAGGGGAGCGGCAGACGGGUGAGUAACGCGUGGGAACGUACCCUUUGCUACGGAAUAGCUCCGGGAAACUGGAAUUAAUACCGUAUGUGCCCUACGGGGGAAAGAUUUAUCGGCAAAGGAUCGGCCCGCGUUGGAUUAGCUAGUUGGUGGGGUAAUGGCCUACCAAGGCGACGAUCCAUAGCUGGUCUGAGAGGAUGAUCAGCCACAUUGGGACUGAGACACGGCCCAAACUCCUACGGGAGGCAGCAGUGGGGAAUAUUGGACAAUGGGCGCAAGCCUGAUCCAGCCAUGCCGCGUGAGUGAUGAAGGCCUUAGGGUUGUAAAGCUCUUUCGCCGGAGAAGAUAAUGACGGUAUCCGGAGAAGAAGCCCCGGCUAACUUCGUGCCAGCCGCCGCCGUAAUAC